rnacentral:piRNA from 1 species
UGAAGAUUUCGUGAAUACACAUGUGGC